UACGUAGGGUGCAAGCGUUAAUCGGAAUUACUGGGCGUAAAGUGUGCGCAGGCGGUCGAUCAAGUCGAGUGUGAAAGCCCCCGGCUCAACUGGGGAGGGUCAUUCGAUACUGAUCGACUCGAAGGCAGGAGAGGGUAGUGGAAUUCCCGGUGUAGUGGUGAAAUGCGUAGAUAUCGGGAGGAACACCAGUGGCGAAGGCGACUACCUGGCCUGUUCUUGACGCUGAGGCGCGAAAGCUAGGGGAGCAAACGGG
rnacentral:rRNA from 1 species